rnacentral:lncRNA from 1 species
GGGUCAAAAGAUUCGUCUCGUGAUUUACAGGUGUAACACCCAAAAAUUUCCAACUUUUGAAAUAGGUGAAAAAUGAUUUAUUUUUUUUUUGUAUUUUUGUGCUCAUGAAACAUAGGAAAAUAAUAUUUUCUUUAAAAUAAAACUUAUCAUAGAACUUAGUAACUUGAAUGUGCAUUCAUGCUGGAGAAUUUAUUUUGUUGUACUGAGUGAUUUGAUCCCAAAAUACAAAAUGAAUCAAACUGAUUUUAAGAUGGUUUUCAAAUUUUGUUUUGAAAUAGGCUUAAAAAAACAGAACAAAAGAAAAGGG